GGAUAGUGAACUAAGAGCUAGAAAACUCGAAAGACUACACUUGACGAUUUUGCUUGGAUGACAAACUUUCGACCAGAGAAUUUCGGGUAUUUUUAGGAUAAUUAAAGGUUGCGGCCAAACUAAGUUGGAUACAAUCUUAAAGGACUACGUCUUUCGUCAAAUAUUUGAAAUUUGUGAUUGAAGUUGAAAACUUGAAAUUGUGUAAAUACGCACCGGAUAUAAACGUCAACAAUGCCAUUAUGUAGACAGAUGUACAAAUACAUCAAGGACUGAGUAUAUUUAGAUGCUUAAUAACUGCACUACAGCAUUGUGUACACAACAGCAUGCAUUCCUAUUCUCCUGGACCACCAGUAAUUACAAACAGUGUACCACUUUAAAGCUCUGAGACUGUUCGUUUACAUUGUUUCUCAUGUUUGACCAUUAUGACUUCAGAACAAAGGUGGGAAUAAAGGGACUAAUUCGAAAUUGAUUUGAAUAUUGAGGAAAUUUGAUACUGCAUGAACAAGGUGAAUAAAUCACUCUUUGUGACCUGUCAAUAACGAUAGAUCACCUAUCAGAAUUCAAGGACAAGGAUUCAUCGACUUUCACAAAUUUAUGGACAAACAUUUGAUGAAAGGUCUUUGGCUUCGCUGAAAAUGGAAGCAGUUUGUUUACUUCACUUCACUUCUCAAGUGAUUUUUGACAAUUUUUCCAGAACUCAGGUAAUGGAAAUCUACAAUUCAGGCUCUUCAAUACCACUCCAUCCAUAAAUACCUUGAUAGAAUAUGGACAAAUCUGUCAAAGGCGACCUUGUCUUUGACAAAGAGAGGAGGCCGUUUGUUUCCAUCAUUUUCUGAGGUAGGUGUUUGACAUUUUCUAUUUAAGGAAGUCUGCAUUUUUUUCCCGAUGCCAUUCAAAUAUUCACAGGGGUGAACUAAGGAGUCCAGAAAUGAAGGCCCGGUCACCUUUGUAAAAGAAGGGGUGCCCAGGUGUUUUUAAUUUUCCAUAAUUCAUCUUCAACUUCAAAGAAGAUUUUCCAAUAUUGGGCAGACAACAUAUGGUGACAAUUAGAAAAUAGAUACCCAGUAAUCUUGCUCUUCUUUGCAUUCGUUAUCAUUCUCUGCAGAUGCUACAGUCCUAGCCCCUAAGUCAAUAAUGAAUUUUUGGAAUUUCUCAUUGCUUUUCAAACCUUUCCGACACUAAACAGGAACUUUCAUCCUCAUGGCCUGCAUAUAGCUCAUAGGGAAGUAAAUCUCACUGUCUGCAAUUCAGUGUCUAAUCACAAAGAAGGUAAACGCUUUUUGUUUUUUGUGGGUCACAAGUUACAUGUGGUCUGACAUCUUCCUACCUGAGAAACAGCUAGAUCAGGUACUACAUAGGCACAGGCUGACCUGCAUUCGGCCUACCUGAUACUGUAAACCAUGUUAUAUUUGUGAACCUAAUAAGUUUGCCGUUUUUACGAGAUGAAGAGUAAGUAUGGUAAAAUCGUUAACUUAAGCGGUGCGAACAUUUUCAACUUAGUAGUUUUAUCAUUGGAAAAUGCACCAUUUUGCAGAUAUAAAUUGAUGCAUUAUCUGAAAAGGAUAUUUCGCAAACAUUUAGGGCCGCGAAAAUAAAGGUGUAUACAGUACAUAUGGACGAGUCACUUCACUGAACUUAAAUCAGUAACCAGACAGGUUGAUAGUGGCAACCAACAAAGGUCUGAGGUGAAGCUUUCAGGCACGGCUGUGAAAAGUUAAUAGACAUUGUAACUGGGAUCGGGGAGGCCAGUUACUGGUAUGCGAUGAUCCAAAAUUUACCACAGACAAUGUAUCAGAGUGGAACCACCGGAUGGACUCAUUUUCAGAUUACAGGAAAUACGAUAUACAAUCUCUAAGGAAAAUUGACGGGAUCAAAACUUGCUGAAGCAAUGGCUGUGGCCAUCAUGUUGCUUAUGAAUUCAAUCAAUACUAUUUCAGGGUUCAAACUGGAUACAUUUAAUACGGGUUGGUUGUUUUUGGUAUGAAACACAAAAUAUGGAUACAGGUCAGGCUGCGUUUACAAUAUUUCAGGAUACCUCAUUUUAAGAAAAAUCAAACAUGCUGGAUGAAUUUACACAACAUGGACAUGUUGUUCAAUCAACAGUAGCGAACAAAUUGGUUUGUAUCGGGACAGGGAUGGAGAAGUGUUCUUUAUUGGUACUCAAAGGCAACAGAAUUGGAGUUCACCGUACUUUUUUGUGACUCAGGUAAUUAGACAUAAACAUUGCCCUAGUGGAGUUAUUAUGCAGGCAGAUUUGCUGAAACUAGGCCUUUAUGGUUACUGUAUAUCGUUCUACACAACAGCAUUGUUGCCAAAAUAUUUCAGUAGAUUUUUACACAAAUGGAGCGGUCGGAUAUUUGAACAGACGUUUUAGGCCGCUUAAAUUGUCGCAGCUCAUCCCAGGAAUACCAGAUGCAGGUUGCAAUGGAAGUAAAAGAUCACAAAAUAAUAAACGAAACCAAACACACCCACGAACUGGACAGUCCCCUGCUGGAAAUAUUCAUCGCAAUCGACAUCAUUUUCAUAAUGUUAAGCGUCAUCGGAAACACACUCGUAAUAUGGGCCAUCCUCCGCAACAAAAUUUUAAACAGUCCAUCAUUCAUGUUCAUCAUAUCAGUCGCCGCGGCACAUUUAUUUGUCGGAGUGUGCGUCCUACCGAUGUUUAUUGUCAGUCAUUAUCCCAACAGUCACAUGACAUCAUUAGUAUGCAAGUUAAUGAUGUUCAUGACAAAAGUUUCAACGUCGGCAAGCGCACUUUCUCUCCUGCCGAUGGCGAUCGACUCUUUCAAUCGCUACAGCCCAUAUACAAACAAGCGAAUCCGAUUCAAGGAUGCCUAUACUCAAAUUGUGAUUGUCUGGACCGUGUCAAUAUUGUACGCAAUAUGGGUGCCUAUCAUGCAUGAUAAGGUCGUGGAGAUCCACAACACAGGGAAAAGAUACGUGAAAGUCCAAAUGUGCGAAGUGACGGACGAACGACACGAAAUGUUUAAGAUUCAUAUCGUAAUUGACUUCCUCUUCAUGUACGCUGUGCCAUUAUUGGUAAUGAUUGUGCUCCAUUGUACGAUAUCUUGCUGGAUUUGGCGCCACGUUCAGAAAUCGGCGGAUAAUUCGGCUCAGCAGAUGCGCAUGAUGACAACGUGCUCCGGGAUCAUACUAGUGACAUCAUUCGGCAUAUUAGGGUUUGGAAAUUAUGGGAUGUUAUACAGGAUAUUCUGGGGCGAAGGUUACUUCCCUAAAGCGUUCCUUCUACGCGAUGUCUUCACCCUUUCUUCAUUUUCUCUUUCUUGGAUUAACGUUGCGCUGUUGUUCGGUUUUAAUCCAAUUUUUCGCAAAGUUGUAUUUGCCACUUUAAAAUCGCAGAAUCAGUCGAAUGGUGAUAUCAACUCAACUCAUGAAAAUACCAACAGAAUUGGUAGUGCACCAACAAAAACGAGUCCUGCCCCCAAUGAAAUCGACUCUAUUUCUCUCUCACUAAAGAGAAAAUUAGAGACCAGGGACCUAGACAAUGAAGGUGCGUCCCUUUGUGUGAUUCAACUCCCCCAAACGAUUGUGGUGAACAACCCCGAACACCCGACAACUGAAGUUUGAAGGGUCACUACAGGCAGGAGCCCGGGAGUCAAAAUAGUUAUCUUCAAGUGACUUAUAUGCAGAGAUACAUGUAGGUGACUCGAAUGUGUUAGAUUCAGUGAUAAAUCAAUUUCUUGCACAGGCACCAAUGGUUUUAAUGUAAUGUGAGAGAGGAUAGACCCCUAUUGGUGACUUUGUGUAACUUAAUCUGACCUACCUGGCUCCUGCCUAUAGUCUCCCGCAAAAUGCAGCCCCCGCUUAGGGAUAGGACAGGAGCCAACAGGACUAAACAGUACACUUUGAGAGGCAUGGAGGGUUCAUAUCAAAAUUAAUCUCUUGAUGAUAAUUCAUUUUUUUACAUGUUAAUUCAAGUUGAUAAUAAAUUUUUACGCGAGUGA